rnacentral:tRNA from 1 species
CAUUAAGAAGCUAUGGACCAGCAUUAGCCUUUUAAGCUAAAGAUAGAGGGCUACACCCCUCCUUAAUGA